AUUGAACGCUGGCGGCAGGCCUAACACAUGCAAGUCGAACGGUAACAGGAAGAAGCUUGCUUCUUUGCUGAUGAGUGGCGGACGGGUGAGUAAUGUCUGGGAAACUGCCUGAUGGAGGGGGAUAACUACUGGAAACGGUAGCUAAUACCGCAUAACGUCGCAAGACCAAAAAGGGGGACCUUCGGGCCUCUUGCCAUCGGAUGUGCCCAGAUGGGAUUAGCUAGUAGGUGGGGUAACGGCUCACCUAGGCGACGAUCCCUAGCUGGUCUGAGAGGAUGACCAGCCACACGGGAACUGAGACACGGUCCAGACUCCUACGGGAGGCAGCAGUGGGGAAUAUUGCACAAUGGGCGCAAGCCUGAUGCAGCCAUGCCGCGUGUAUGAAGAAGGCCUUCGGGUUGUAAAGUACUUUCAGCGGGGAGGAAGGGAGUAAAGUUAAUACCUUUGCUCAUUGACGUUACCCGCAGAAGAAGCACCGGCUAACUCCGUG
rnacentral:rRNA from 1 species